CGCUGGAGAUGACUCUGGAG
rnacentral:misc_RNA from 1 species